rnacentral:lncRNA from 1 species
UCCGACCAUGUUGUGCUCAGAGUGGAUCAGUACGACUGUCUCAUUUGAUCUGUUUUAAACAGAUGCUUCUAGCCUCCCCUCAAAGGCCCUACAACUUUCAUGUAACUUCUCGUCCAGUCAAAAGUUGAAAUACUGCAAGUCAUGGAAAAUGAUAUUUUCUUUUUUGUUUUCUUCUUUUCCAUUGCUCUAGCAAUCAGAAGUAUGAUUUUAAAUUUUUUAUGACUCUGUCGUUCACUAGGAAAAACUUAGCACAUGGAUCUCAGCACUGUGAAAUGAAUUCACUUUUAUAGCUGAUGUGUCUGAGAAACAGCUAUUUGUGACAUUAUGUUGUUAACUAUAGAAAUCACUGAAAUAGUGAACUCCUUUUGUUAAUGCAUUGACAAUUGCAAACUGGAAUUAUGUAUUUUUAUUCUCUUCACUUUAGGAAAGCGGGUCUGCUGGUUAGUGAUGGCUGUCAUCAUUGAGUGCCCCAGAAUUUGUAUGUUAAACAAAGUGCCACUCAUGGAUGGGCAAAAGUAGCAACCUCCAGCUUCACAAAAUCUCUGCCUGCUUUCUCCAGCUGUGCUGAAAACCCUUUUCCCAUUUAAGCUAGUACUUGAACCGGUGUUCACUAGUAGAGAAGAGCUCAUUUGGAGAAAAGGACAGUCACCAGAAAGAUGACAAGAUCAUUGUUUUCAUGGCUGAUGGUCUUAUUGUUUGGGGAAUGAAAUCCCUGGGUAACUUACAGCUCAGAAGUCUUCUUAUGCAGGAGCCUGAAGAAAGCCGCAGAUCUUCCUUUGGAUUUUCAGAAUGGGAAGGACACAAGGCUUUGGGUGAUGUGGCUGAACACUGAGUAGCAACUAAAGAAUGUCUGUGACAAUCAAAAAGAAUGCUGUCCUUGUUCCAUGGCCCUCACGGACCUAGAUAAUCACCCCCACCUCCUACCCCCAGCUCUGAAAUUCCCGCAAAGAUAAAACGAGUUGAAAUUGUUUUGACACUGUUCAUUCAUCUGUAUGAGCGUGGAACGAGAAAGUUCGACAGGAAAAUACUUCAGAGACAUAUGAUAAACUAAUACUACCCAGAUGAAUGCAAACGCUACCUGGAAUAUAGAUGACGGUGGGUAAAUUGCUUCAAAUGAGCCUUAUUGAUUCCACUCUCUGUUGAUGGGGCAUAUCUGAAGGAGGAAGUUUCAUUUAAACACUUGGGCACUGCAGUAAUUAAAUGAACUCUGGGACAGUUUACGUAUUGGACUGGCUCUGAUUCUUUAGGAGCUGGUGACUAUCUCUCUUAAACAUGAAGCAUGUUAAUAGCCAAGCAGCU